ACAAAGUUACAUAACCUUUAUUUGCACUAUGUAUGAGGUCUACAUUAUAUAAAUUGGGUAGGAUUCCUCUUCUAAUUGAAAGAAUAUAUAACUUUUCUGAAAUAAAUAUAGCUAGUGAAAAUAAUCAUAAAAAAUCUAGACUAUAGAAGGUAGAUCUCAAUUUCUAUUUUGAUUUUAACUAUAGCCAUUCUACCUAAUUCUUUUUAGAUCAAGCAAUAUACCUGAUCUAAGCUUUUCCUAAAAGAAAAAUUUUUGUUUUGACCGGCCU
rnacentral:lncRNA from 1 species